rnacentral:tRNA from 1 species
AGUAUUACGCCGGAUGAACGGGAAUCAUUGAUGUUGAUUAUUAUGGAAUACUUAUUUAUUUCUAAUACUA